UUAACUAUUAAAUAGUACUCAGACAUCACUAACUGCAGGGUUGGGGUCCUCUGGCAGGCACGGUAAGCCGGAGCCUACACAGUCAACUGUGGCCUGCCAAAGCAACGAAGGUAGAUUAAACAAGAAUGUGGGAUCGCGUGCAAGAAUCGAGUCAGGUUGGGCUCACCAGCUUCGGGGUUUCGGGAGGCAUCGCCCCAGCCUACUCCCCCUAAUCCUGAUGGCCCCCCCGGAUCGUUUACAGCGUCUCUGUGGGGUUUCUUUCACUCCAGCAUCUCAGCCGUCGCUACUUCCCACGGCCAGUGGCCCAUUUAUUAAUGAUCCUUCCGCAGGUUCACCUACGGAAA
rnacentral:misc_RNA from 1 species